rnacentral:rRNA from 1 species
AUACGUAGGGUCCGAGCGUUAUCCGGAAUCAUUGGGCGUAAAGAGCUCGUAGGCGGUUCAGCAAGUCGGCUGUGAAAGUUCGAGGCUCAACCUCGAAAUUGCAGUCGAUACUGCUGUGACUUGAAUUCGGUAGAGGAGAAUGGAAUUCCCGGUGUAGCGGUGAAAUGCGCAGAUAUCGGGAGGAACACCAGUAGCGAAGGCGGUUCUCUGGGCCGAUAUUGACGCUGAGGAGCGAAAGCGUGGGGAGCAAACAGGAUUAGAUACCCCAGUAGUCC